GCUGGGCGUAGUGGCGCAUGCCUGUAAUCCAAGCUACUCGGGAGGCUGAGGAAGGAGAAUCGCUUGAACCCAGGAGGUGGAGGUUGCAGUGAGGCGAGAUGGAGCCACUGCACCUCAACCUGGGUGACACAGUGAAACUCUGUCUCAA
rfam:Pan troglodytes isolate Yerkes chimp pedigree #C0471 (Clint) chromosome 1, whole genome shotgun sequence.